GGCUACUUUACUGCGCGUCUGAGAAAAGUUGACCCAGAAGACGUCUACAGCUGGCAACAACGUGGAUGGGUUUUAAUGCGAUAAAAACACAAUCCGGGCUUGUCUCCUCGCCGAUUUGACCAGCCAACCGAGCAACAACUGUCUGGCAUUUUACUUGAAAAAGUGACAUUUGAAUAUUGUCGUGCUUUUUUUUUCCAUAUGAUAAUGCUAAAUGUACCAAAACUGAGCAGGAUUUUCGAACGUGCAACAUUUUACAAACGGCGCCCCAUAAAGGACAGCCUAACAGGAGCCACAGUCAUUUGCUGUGCACUGAGCGCACUUUGAGUUUCCCUAGCAAGAGUGGUUGAGAGCAAAACAAAAGUGAAACCAACAUUGUGUUAUGGAUUUAGGUUAGGUCUAUAUCACAUUCUGAACAGCACACUGAACGAAGGAAUAACAGCCGUUCUGGGUACAUUGAACCGUUAAAGAUGGUUAAGGUAUUUUUCAAGGGCAUUGGAUAUGCCGAGAGGUAUCUUGAAGAGAUCAAGGCCUAUCUCCAAAGACGACUUUGUGUGACUCAGGUCGGAGAUGUACGGGAAUGUGAUGUCAUCUUGGUCCUCUGCCCAAUCGUCUCUCGAGCUGGAACUGAUGUUGAGGCUGCACUGAGUGCGAUUCCAAGCCCAAAGCCUACAAUUCUCAUGGUGUUUCAUCGCACAUUCGACCCGGAAGACAUAAUACCCAACACCCAGAAGUAUGUCGAAGGGAGGGGAAUAACGGUGGACCUGCUUUUCAAUGAGGAAGGAGGACUACUUUCUUGCAGAAGAAAUGAGGACUCGAAGAGAUUGGCUGCAGAUUACCUCAAUAAGCAUGAAGCACUUAGCCCUAUAUACAGUAAUAGGUUUUUAAAUGCCAUACUUUCGCAAAAAGGGCUUAUUGGGUGUAUUGCAUUUGCAGGUGUAGUCAUUGUUUGUUUUGCCAUUGUCAGGAAAAAAGAUAAAAUAAUGUUAGCUAACUCAGUCAAUCUUCCUAGGCUAUUUACAUGGACUACACUGAAAAUCAGGGUUGGAAAAUCUACUGAAAUCUGA
rnacentral:lncRNA from 1 species